AUUUUUAUGAGCAUGGCAUGCAGGCUCUUGAUCAUUGCUUACAAAAGGACACUCAACAUGGCCCCCCAGCAAGCCGCAGUCCCUUACAGAAUGGUCCAGCAUGGGUCCUUUGCAUGAGCUACAGCUCUACAGGAAUAGAGUUCUCCAAAGGGCACUCUCCAAGGGAACCUGCUGCAAUAUGGGCUCUUCCAUGGCUGCACAGGGAGAUCUGCUCCAGCAUUUUUGCCCCUAACAGGAAAGAUGGCCAUGGACUUCAACAGUCAUAAUUAUAUCCAUACUUUCUGAUCAAGGAGAUGAGCUGAUUUGCAGAAAUAUAAAUCUUGGAGAUCCAAAUCAUCAUAAAAGUUUUGGAAGAUUCACUGUACUUUGGAUGAAGUCCUGAAUCUUAGGCUUGAUCUUCAGUUCACCUGAGAAUGUGAAAUGGAUAUACAUUCUGCACUACAGAUCUGUGAAGUCUCAAGUUUAUGAAAUAAAAGAAUAUGUUCGUGGAAGGUAAAGAUCUAAAAAGAAUGGAACUAGAUUCUGCCAGAAGAAUUGGGAUUACAACAAACAACAAGAAGUGAAGAAGAGACAGGAUGUUGAAAUCUGUGAAGGAGAACUGCUAACAAAAUAAGAUGAUGACACACAGGGUAGCUUUAAGGGAGUAAGCUCACAGACCUCGUGUGCUAUACUAGUUUAAACAACAAGAAGGAAAACAACUAGACUAGAAGGACAAAAGCAAUAAAAAUGACUAAUGCUUCAUUUCUGCCUUCACUGUUGAGAGAUUUUGAUAUAUAGAGAAGGAUGACAACAUAAAGAUGAGCUCGUUGUUUUAGUCUUCACUGGCAGCCUAAAUUCUCACAUCACUUAACCUUACAUCCAUAAGCCUCCUAGUGAGAAUUAGGGGAGUAAAAUACUCCCCACUAUAAGGGUAGAGCAAGUUCAAGAUAGACUCAUGAGUCAGCACGGCUUCACCAAAGGACGAUCAUGUCUGAUCAGUCUGGUGGCCUUCUAUGGUGAAUUGACAGUGGAUAAAGGGAAGGCAACAGAUGUCAUCUACCUGGACUUCUGAAAAAUCUUUGAUAUGGUCUCCCACCACACUCCUAUAUCUGAAUUGAAGAAAUAUGGAUUUGAAGAGUGGAUUAUUUGGUGGAUAAGGAGUUGGUUGGAUAUACACAGCCAGAGGGUUGUGGCCAAUGGUUCUAUGUCCAUACGUCUCUAUGUCUCUACAUGGUGGAGGCCAGUGAUGAGUGCUGUCCCCCAGGGGUCUGUCUUGAAACUGAUACUCCUUAACAUUUUUAUCAAUUAUGUAGAUGAUGAGGGAUGUACAGAAGGGUGAGGGAGGUGACUGUUCCUCUCUACCCUGUUCUCAUGAGGCCCUCUCUGGAGUAUUGCAUCCAGGUCUGGAAUCCCUGCGCGAGGAAAGAUGUGGAGCAUUUGAAGAGUGUACAGAGGAA